UACGUAGGGGGCAAGCGUUGUCCGGAUUUAUUGGGCGUAAAGUGCGCGCAGGUGGUUUCUUAAGUCUGAUGUGAAAGCCCACGGCUCAACCGUGGAGGGUCAUUGGAAACUGGGGAACUUGAGUGCAGAAGAGGAAAGUGGAAUUCCAAGUGUAGCGGUGAAAUGCGUAGAGAUUUGGAGGAACACCAGUGGCGAAGGCGACUUUCUGGUCUGUAACUGACACUGAGGCGCGAAAGCGUGGGGAGCGAACAGG
rnacentral:rRNA from 1 species